UGCCACAUUUUUAUUCCACUUUCAAGCUCCAUUGAACUGAUCUUGAUAAACUCAUGUUUCAAGUCUAUCCAUCAAUAUUCCCUUUAAAACCACCUUAGUGUCCAAUAUCCAGGUCACUUAGUAUUUAGUAAAUAAAACAGCUUUCACUAUUUUAACAUUGAAUGAAAUUAGUCACACCUCAAGGCUCGUGACAUGCUACCUCGUCUAGAUCUUGGGGAGACCAUUUCAAGGCUGCUACUUGCUGGCAAUUCUGUUUAAUAGUAGACAUCUUUUUGAGCCUCUAACUUUUGUACAUCUCCAUUUGUCUUUUGUAAUUCCUCUUUCAUUGCUUUCCGUAUUUCCUUCAAUUUGUGAAUCUCUUCACUUUUCUCAUUCUCUGACCUUGAGUUCUCGGAUGGAAGGCAACUAGAUUUCUUCAACUUGCGAAUCUCUUCAUCCUUCUCUCUCUUUGACCUUAAGUUCUCAGUUGGAAGAAAACUAGAUUUCGAGGCCCCAAAUCAUUCAGGCAUGGACUAUGCCCUAGCAUCGGACGCAUCCAAGUAUCCUUUUCCCAACCCUAGAAAAACAGUAUUUCAGGGGAGGCUUGCUCUUUCCAAGUUCCAAAUAUACCUCCGUGAGAUCAUUCAUGCUUCCAUGCAAUUUAGUGACAUAAAAAACUUAUUAAAAUAAUGAUUUUACUAUUUACUGUCAAGCAAUGUUAAGCUGAAUUCAUAGAUACGUACAAUGGCGUUUGAUUCCUAACUCUGCUUCCUAUCAUGUGCCAGAACUUGGUUAGUUAGCAUGACUGAAUGAACCAUAUCAAGAAGACAAUCAAUAUUUCACACUUUCCUGUGAUAUUGGGAAAGAUGUCCAGAGAUAUCAAAUUGAAAAAGUAAUCACACUCUUCCUUUCUAAAGUUGUUCCUUGCUGAUUGUUAUGUGACUUGUCAUCCAACGAAAUCAUAUGAAAACAUAUCCUAAGAAGCGAGACUUUUGAUUUUAAUUUUACACUAUUUAUUCCAACUUGCUCUCUUUUCUUGAUCCAUUCUCUUCUGCAUAGAUAAAUGCAUAAAUUCGUAAUACACUAUAGCAACAAUAUUGUCAUUGCCAAGACUAAAUAACAUUUGUUGACACUGGAUGAACUAUAUUGAAUGGCUUUUCCAACAAUUGUGGGGACGUGUGCAUGCAUGUGAAAUGGCACAGCUAGCAAUUGGGUAUUCUAGGGCUGCAUCACUUUUCUAUUUUUCGAUCUCUCUCAUUAAACCAAACUGCAGUCACGUUAGCAAAUUAAUAGAAAAUUGUACAGGUUUCAUCAUUUAUAAUUUACUUUACAGCUCUAGCUGCUGCAUAGCUCUUUUGUUAAUGAUGGCG
rnacentral:lncRNA from 1 species